rnacentral:rRNA from 1 species
GACGAACGCUGGCGGCGUGCUUAACACAUGCAAGUCGAACGGAAAUUCCCUGCUUUUGUGGGGUGCUCGAGUGGCGAACGGGUGAGUAACACGUGAGUAACCUGCCCUUGACUUUGGGAUAACUUCAGGAAACUGGGGCUAAUACCGGAUAGGAGCUCCUGCUGCAUGGUGGGGGUUGGAAAGUUUCGGCGGUUGGGGCUGUACUCGCGGCUUAUCAGCUUGUUGGUGGGGUAGUGGCUUACCAAGGCUUUGACGGGUAGCCUGCCUGAGAGGGUGACCGGCCACAGUGGGACUGAGAUACGGCCAAGACUCCUACGGGAGGAAGCAGUGGGGAAUAUUGCAAAAUGGGCGGAAGCCUGAUGCAGCAACGCCGCGUGCGGGAUGACGGCCUUCGGGUUGUAAACCGCUUUCGCCUGUGACGAAGCGUGAGUGACGGUAAUGGGUAAAGAAGCAACGGCUAACUACGUG